CCGAACCGACUAGUGUUGCAAAAUUAGCGGAUGAGCUGUGGAUAGGGGUGAAAGGCUAAACAAAUCUGGAGAUAGCUGGUUCUCCCCGAAAACUAUUGAGGUAGUGCCUCGUGUAUGGCUCCAGGGGGUAGAGCACUGUUAUGGCUAGGGGGACAUGGCGUCUUACCAAACCAUGGCAAACUCCGAAUACUUGGAAGUCUGAGCACGGGAGACAGAGCACCGGGUGCUAACGUCCGGACUCAAAAGGGAAACAACCCAGACCGCCGGCUAAGGUCCCUAAUAUUGACUAAGUGGAAAACGAAGUGGGAAGGCUAAGACAGUCAGGAAGUUGGCUUAGAAGCAGCCAUCCUUCAAAGAAAGCGUAAUAGCUCACUGAUCGAGUCUUCCUGCGCGGAAGAUGUAACGGGGCUAAGUCAAUAACCGAAGCCGCGGAUUCGCAGCAAUGCGAGUGGUAGGGGAGCGUUCUGUAAGCCUGCGAAGGCGGAUCUGCGAGGACCGCUGGAGGUAUCAGAAGUGCGAAUGCUGACAUGAGUAACGUUAAAGCGGGUGAAAAGCCCGCUCGCCGCAAGCCCAAGGUUUCCUGCUCUACGUUCAUCGGAGCAGGGUGAGUCGGCCCCUAAGGUCAGGCUGAGAAGCGUAGCUGAUGGGAAGCUGGUUAAUAUUCCAGCACCGAUUUCAAGUGCGAAGGGGGGACGGAGUCCUGAAGGUCAUCCGGGUGUUGGAUAUCCCGGUUUACGAGCGUAGGAGGUUGACAGGCAAAUCCGUCAACGGAUCUCCAAGGCGAAGGAUCGAGGUUGAGAGAUCAACUGAAGUGACUGAAUGGGCUUCCAGGAAAAGCCUCUAAGCAUCAGCUUGGAAUUGACCGUACCGCAAACCGACACUGGUGGGCGAGCUGAAUAUGCUCAGGCGCUUGAGAGAACUCAGGAGAAGGAACUCGGCAAAUUGACACCGUAACUUCGGGAUAAGGUGUGCCUUUGUAGUGUGAAGAGAGAAACACUCCGAGCAUGAAGAGGCCUCAGAGAAUCGGUGGCUGCAACUGUUUACUAAAAACACAGCACUCUGCAAAGAUGAAAGUCGACGUAUAGGGUGUGAUGCCUGCCCGGUGCUGGAAGAUUAAUUGAUGGGGUGCAAGCUCCUGAUCGAAGUCCCAGUAAACGGCGGCCGUAACUAUAACGGUCCUAAGGUAGCGAAAUUCCUUGUCGGGCAAGUUCCGACCUGCACGAAUGGCAUAAUGAUGGCCACACUGUCUCCUCCUGAGACUCAGUGAAGUUGAAAUGUUUGUGAUGAUGCAAUCUCCCCGCGGCUAGACGGAAAGACCCCAUGAACCUUUACUGCAGCUUUGCAUUGGACUUUGAACCGAUCUGUGUAGGAUAGGUGGGAGGCAGUGAAGCUAGGACGCCAGUCUUAGCGGAGCCAACCUUGAAAUACCACCCUGAUUUGUUUGAGGUUCUAACCUAGGAGCGUAAUCCGCUUCGGGGACCGUGCAUGGUAGGCAGUUUGACUGGGGCGGUCUCCUCCUAAAGGGUAACGGAGGAGUGCGAAGGUACGCUAGGUACGGUCGGAAAUCGUGCUGAUAGUGCAAUGGCAAAAGCGUGCUUGACUGCGAGACCGACAAGUCGAGCAGAUACGAAAGUAGGUCAUAGUGAUCCGGUGGCUCUGCAUGGAAGGGCCAUCGCUCAACGGAUAAAAGGUACUCUGGGGAUAACAGGCUGAUACCGCCCAAGAGUUCAUAUCGACGGCGGUGUUUGGCACCUCGAUGUCGGCUCAUCUCAUCCUGGGGCUGUAGCCGGUCCCAAGGGUAUGGCUGUUCGCCAUUUAAAGAGGUACGUGAGCUGGGUUUAAAACGUCGUGAGACAGUUUUGUCCCUAUCUGCCGUGGGCGUUGGAAGAUUGACGGGGGCUGCUCCUAGUACGAGAGGACCGGAGUGGACUCACCUCUGGUGUACCGGUUGUCACGCCAGUGGCAUCGCCGGGUAGCUAUGUGGGGAA
rnacentral:rRNA from 1 species